GGAAGAAAGGUACUGGGAAUACAGGUGGACUCAAGAUGCAGGGCUGGAAGCAAAAUGCCAGGAACUAAAGAACCUUUCUGGAGUAGAGCAAUGCCCCACCUCCCUUUGUGAGCAUGAAGACUGGGCGCCGGAACAGUAACGUAACCCUUCAUUCAUAGACUGGAGACUGCUUCGUCCUGCAGUGGUUCAUCUGGAGCGUCGUGGCUGUGAUGGAGGUCGUGGCUGUGAAGGAGGAAGGCUAGGAGCUUUCAUUACAGAGAACUAAUGGCCAACACAUCUGUGCCCCUCACCACAUGCCCCACUGUCC